rnacentral:rRNA from 1 species
GAAAGAGUUUGAUCCUGGCUCAGGAUGAAUGUUGGCGGCGUGCCUAAGGUAUGCAAGUCGAGCGAUUCUUUUGAUCUUUGAAACUUCGGUUGAUUAGAUCGGUUGAAUAGCGGCAAACGGGUGAGUAACACGUAGGUAACCUACCUCGAAAUCAGGAAUAGCUCGCCGAAAGGCGGGGUAAUACCUGAUAGUCCAUUUUUACUUCAAGGUUUAAAUGGUAAAACUCCGGUGUUUCGAGAAGGGCCUGCGUCCUAUCAGCUAGUUGGUGAGGUAAUAGCUCACCAAGGCUAAGACGGGUAGCUGGCGUGAGAGCGUGGUCAGCCACAAUGGAACUGAGACACGGUCCAUACUCCUACGGGAGGCAGCAAUUAGGAAUCUUGCGCAAUGGGGGCAACCCUGACGCAGCGACGCCGCGUGGAGGAUGAAGGUUUUCGGAUCGUAAACUCCUUUUAUAUGGGAAGAAUAAAUGACGGUACCAUAUGAAUAAGCACCUGCUAACUACGUGCCAGAAGCAUCGGUGAUGCGUAGGGUGCGAACAUUAUCCGGAUUUAUUGGGCGUAUAGAGAUGCGUAGGCGUUUUGGUUAGUCCACGGUUAAAGACCUUCGCUCAACGAAGGGAAGGCUUUAGAUACUGCUAAAAUUGAGAUAGGAAUGGGUGAAUGGAAUUCCCGGUGGAGUGGUGAAAUACGUUGAUAUCGGGAAGAACACCAAAAGGCGAAGGCAAUUCACUGGUCCUUUUCUGACGCUAAAGCUCGAAAGCGUGGGUAGCAAA